rnacentral:misc_RNA from 1 species
CACACCUCAAUGCGGUGUUGGAGUCUAGUAGCCUGUUCGCAGGCGAAGCUAAGAUGAGCUCAGUCAACUGCGACAACGCGUCCAUAUUCACGAGUUCGAAGGCUUUCCAAAAUUCCAACUUUGACAAUAUUGUUUUCCAUCUGAGUCCUCUUUUUGUGGAGCUUCCAUACGAGUUGGUGGAUAAGUGGACGGGACCCAAUCAUUGAAUUUCCAUGCAGACAAUUCUCUAGUCUAUCGUCGCAUCGGCAUAAUUUUGGCUCCUGGGUCACACCAUCUCAGCCUACCGUUCUAUGUUACGUGUCCUCUAAGGAAGGAUUUAUGAAAGACUCCAUUUCAUAUUCACCUUAUUCUACAAUCAUAUCGAGUUGACAAUCCGACACUCUUUUUUCUAGGCAGUAGGAUCAGUUGCUGAUAUCAUGGUCGCGUUCAUGUUUGACGGUACCCUUCACAUGCGUAGCUUUGGGGGUUAUUCUGGACAGCGAUGGCUAGUCCUCCUUAAGAGCAUACUCACCCUACUCACCGGCGCGAUUGCCUUCCUUCCUAUGCCUACCGUACCAUGCCAAAUUACCAUCCUUGUGCGUGGGAGGAAUGGAUGUUUCACGCAGAGAGAAGGAACCAUCAUGGUCAAUAGCAUUAUUGGCGAAGAUUCUUCAAAGAGCAGCAUGCAUAAUCAUCAGACUAUGACGCCUAUGCUUUCAUAGAGAAGCUUGAAAGACUGCAACAUUUUGCCCAGCCAAUCCCCUCAGCCACCUUUUCUACAGUCCUGUGGCUCCAUUAAAUCAUUACCUCAUUCUCUCGUUGCGAAGCCUAGGCCGUGACACUUUCCAGCCUAAUCUGCUCGCCCUAUCAUAGGCUAUCAUUCACAUUCUCUCAAUGAUCACGGUAUCACAUUUCACCAAAGUCAACCAAGAGCGCACCUUCCACGCUCUGACCUGUUAAGGUUCAAUUCAUCGGGGAAAAGAGUACGAGCUCCUGCUUCUAGUAUCGCCCGUGUCUGCGUCAGUCUCCAAGACGUUUCUGUUCUAGACAUUGAUGUUGGAAUAGUGUGGGCAAAUUUCCACGCGAUCUACUUCAAUAUGACGAAAGGCAUACCUCCCAAUAUAGAUCAAACGCCAUAUGAAUGAUCUAGUACUGAGAAAUUUUGGGAAAGUCUUCUUGUUAUUUACUCCUUACUAUCCAUGUAUUUCUGCAAGACUUCCCAGAGAGGUCCGGGUUCAGUUUCAAAUUGUUUUUUCGUCAUAUUAGAGUAGAUUGCGUGGAACUUUGCCCACGCUAUUCCAACAUCAAUGUCUUGAUCGGCUAUGUGUUGAGAGACUGAUGUAAGGCGGGAGUAGAGAAGAGGC